GACGAACGCUGGCGGCGUGCUUAACACAUGCAAGUCGAACGGAAAGGCCCUGCUUUUGUGGGGUGCUCGAGUGGCGAACGGGUGAGUAACACGUGAGUAACCUGCCCUUGACUUUGGGAUAACUUCAGGAAACUGGGGCUAAUACCGGAUAGGAGCUACUGCUGCAUGGUGGGGGUUGGAAAGUUUCGGCGGUUGGGGAUGGACUCGCGGCUUAUCAGCUUGUUGGUGGGGUAGUGGCUUACCAAGGCUUUGACGGGUAGCCGGCCUGAGAGGGUGACCGGCCACAUUGGGACUGAGAGACGGCCCAGACUCCUACGGGAGGCAGCAGUGGAGAAUAUUGCACAAUGGGCGGAAGCCUGAUGCAGCAACGCCGCGUGCGGGAUGACGGCCUUCGGGUUGUAAACCGCUUUCGCCUGUGACGAAGCGUGAGUGACGGUAAUGGGUAAAGAAGCACCGGCUAACUACGUG
rnacentral:rRNA from 1 species